rnacentral:rRNA from 1 species
GACGAACGCUGGCGGCGCGCUUAACACAUGCAAGUCGAACGGAAAGGCCUGCUUUCCCUUGUGGAUUGCGGGUACUCGAGUGGCGAACGGGUGAGUAACACGUGAGUGAUCUGCCCCCAACUUGGGUAUAAGCCUGGGAAACUGGGUCUAAUUCCCGAUAGGACUGCAGGGUGGUGCCUGUGGUGGAAAACGAUUUUCUAGUGGUUGGGGAUGAGCUCGCGGCCUAUCAGCUUGUUGGUGGGGUAAUGGCCUACCAAUGCGGCGACGGGUAGCCGGCCUGGGAGGGUGGACGGCCACAGUGGGACUGAGAUACGGCCCAGACUCCUACGGGAGGCAGCAGUGGGGAAUAUUGCACAAUGGGCGGAAGCCUGAUGCAGCGACGCCGCGUGGGGGAUGACGGCCUUCGGGUUGUAAACUCCUUUCGACCGCGAGGAAGCCACCUGGUUGGAAGGGUGGUGACGGUAGUGGUAGAAGAAGCACCGGCUAACUACGUG